AUUGAACGCUGGCGGCAGGCCUAACACAUGCAAGUCGAGCGGAUGAAGAGAGCUUGCUCUCUGAUUUAGCGGCGGACGGGUGAGUAAUGCCUAGGAAUCUGCCUGGUAGUGGGGGAUAACGUUCCGAAAGGAACGCUAAUACCGCAUACGUCCUACGGGAGAAAGCAGGGGACCUUCGGGCCUUGCGCUAUCAGAUGCGCUUAGGUCGGAUUAGCUAGUUGGUGGGGUAAUGGCGCACCAAGGCUACGCUCCGUAACUGGUCUGAGAGGAUGAUCAGGCACACUGGAACUGAGACACGGUCCAGACUCCUACGGGAGGCAGCAGUGGGGAAUAUUGGACAAUGGGCGAAAGCCUGAUCCAGCCAUGCCGCGUGUGUGAAGAAGGUCUUCGGAUUGUAAAGCACUUUAAGUUGGGAGGAAGGGCAGUAAGUUAAUACCUUGCUGUUUUGACGUUACCGACAGAAUAAGCACCGGCUAACUUCGUGCCAGCCGCCGCCGUAACAC
rnacentral:rRNA from 1 species